rnacentral:piRNA from 1 species
UGAGAGGAUGGUUUCAGAGGCAUUCAAU